CCUCGUGCUUCAAGCGAAAGGGCCACACCUGAUCCCAUUCCGAACUCAGCCGUUAAGCCUUUCAGCGCCGAUGAUACUCCAUCAGGGGGAAAGUAGGCCAGCGCGAGGA
rnacentral:rRNA from 7 species